rnacentral:lncRNA from 1 species
UUAAGAUAUUUACUCAUAUCUUUACCGACCCAUUUCAUGGCAACCUUGGAUACCAGGCACCUCCAAAUAGUGCCUACAACAAUAGAGCGUAUCCCACCAUCCGGCUUUAAUAACGGUGUCAAAGGUGCGGAAGCAACAAACUCUGACAAACUCUUGGGACAUCUCUGGCACACGAUGUAGAUGUUACUUUAGGGAAUGAUGUAAUACAUUUAAAAAAGUGUCAACAUCAACCACUA